rnacentral:rRNA from 1 species
GCGUGAAGCCCCCCUCAAGAUGAGAUUUCCCAUUUCUUCGGAAAGUAAGAUCCCUGAAAGAUGAUCAGGUAGAUAGGUUUGGAGUGGAAGUGUAGCGAUACAUGGAGCGGACAAAUACUAAUCGAUCGAGGACUUAACCAA